rnacentral:misc_RNA from 1 species
GAUGAAGAACGUAGCGAAAUGCGAUACGUAAUGUGAAUUGCAAAUUCAGUGAAUCAUCGAAUCUUUGAACGCACAUUGCGCCCGCCAGUAUUCUGGCGGGCAUGCCUGUUCGAGCGUCAUUACAACCCUCAGGCCCCCGGGCCUGGCGUUGGGGAUCGGCGGAAGCCCCCUGCGGGCACAACGCCGUCCCCCAAAUACAGUGGCGGUCCCGCCGCAGCUUCCAUUGCGUAGUAGCUAACACCUCGCAACUGGAGAGCGGCGCGGCCACGCCGUAAAACACCCAACUUCUGAAUGUUGACCUCGAAUCAGGUAGGAAUACCCGCUGAACUUAAGCAUAUCAAUAAGCGGAGGA